AUCUAUUUGUCUCUCUCCCUUGUUCCUGUAUUCCACUUCCUAUUUCUCUCUGCACGCAUGUUUUUCUUUCUUUCUUUCUUUUUUUCUUUCUUUCUUUCUUUCUUUCCUUCCUUCCUUCCUUCCUUCCUCCCUCCCUCCCUCCCUCCCUCCCUCCCUUCUUUCUUUCUUUCUUUCUUUUUUCUUUCUUUCUUUCUUUCUUUCUUUCUUUCUUUCUUUCUUUCUUUCUUUCUUUCUUAGACGGAGUGUCACUCUGUCGCCCAGGCUGGAGUGCAGUGGCGCGAUCUCGGCUCACUGCAAGCUCCACCUCCAGGGUUCACGCCAUUCUCCUGCCUCAGCCUCCCGAGUAGCUGGGACUACAGGCGCCUGCCACCAUGGCCAGGUAAUUUUUUGUAUUUUUAGUAGAGACGAGGUUUCACCGUGUUAGCCAGGAUGGUCUCGAUCUCCUGACCUCGUGAUCCGCCGACCUCGGCCUCCCAAAGUGCCGGGAUUACAGGCGUGAGCCACCGCGCCCGGCCCAUGUUUAUUUCUUUUUCUCCCCGUACCCCUACUUUUUUUUGAAACAGUGUCUUGCUCUGUCGCCCAGGUUGGAGUGCAGUGCGGGAUCAUAGCUCACUACAGCCUCGACCUUCUGGGCUUAAACGAUCCUCCCACCUCAGCCUCACAGUGCUCCAAGAAUACAGGCAUGAGCCAUGACACCUGGCCUCUUUCCCCUUCUUUAGUUCACUCACUGGUCUCUAUCAUUUCCUCUCUCUUCUCCACUCCUUCCCCAGGUUUCUGUCUCCUUGUUUCUCUUUUUCUUUCAGUUACCAGAAUUCUUACCGCUGGGCCUGGAAGAAAGAGCACUCAGGUGACCUUUAAACCUUAGGGGAAAUCGCCGGGCGCAGAGGCUCAAGCCUGUAAUCCCAGUACUUUGGGAGGCCGAGGCGGGUGGAUCACCUGAGGUCAGGAGUUCAAGACCAGCCUGGGCAACAUAGUGAAACCCCAUCUCUACUAAAAAUACAAAAAAUUAGCUGGGUGUGGUGGCAUGCGCCUGUAAUCCCAGUUACUCAGGAGGCUGAGGCAGGAGAAUCGCUUGAGCCCAGGAGGCUGAGGUUGUAGUGAGCCAAGAUUGUGCCAUUGCACUCCAGCCUGGCUGACAGAGCAAGACUCUGUCUCAAAAAUAAAAAUAAAAAUAAAAAUAAACCCUAGGGCAGAUUGCAUGUAAGUUACUGCCUCUCCACCUCCCCUUCCUGCAUGUGGGAUGAGUCAUGGCAGCCCUGUAAGCAGGCAGCACUGGCUUGGGUAGACCAACCUGGACUCUCACAUGGAAUGAUGAGUCUGUGCCCAGGAAUGAUGGGUGGGUGGGUAGGUGACUGGAUGAAUGGAUUAAUGGGAGGGUGAUCAGUUGAGUAUUUGGAUGGAUGGUUGAUUGGUUGGUCAAAGAGAUAGGUAGGUAGAUAGUCUAGGGUUGAUUGGGAAUUGGGUGGGUGUGUGGCUGAGUGGGUAGAUGGGUAGGUAAAUGGAUGCGUAGAUGGAUGUGGUGGGUAAAUGAAGGAGAGGUUAAUAUAGGUGAAUAAUGAAUAAAUGGAUGAGUAGAUGAUUGUGGGUUGGCUAAAUCUGCAGGUGGAUGGCUGGAUAGAUGAGUGGAUACAUAGAUGGGUCAAUGUGUGGAUGGAUAAAUGGGUAUAUAAAUGGAUAAGUGGGUAAGUAAGAGAAUGGAUAGUGGGUAGAUGGAUGAAUGGGUGAGUAUUUGGAUGGAUGGAUGGAUGGAUGGAUGGAUGGAUGGAUGGAUGGAUGAAUGGAUGGAUGGAUGAAUGGAAAGGAGUAUAGAUUGGUGGGUAUGUGGAUGGAUAAGUGAGUGAACAGACAGGAGGGCAUUGAUAGAUGAACGUAUGGAUGGAUAGAUAGGUGAAAGAUGGAUAACUGGGUGUAUGGAUACAUGGACUGAUGGGGAAAUGAAUGGGUGAAUAGUGAGUAGGCAGAUGAAUGAGAAAGUAGGAUGUGUGGGUUGGGGGGAGUAGAUGGAUGGAUGGAUGGGUGGAUGGAUGAAUGGAUGGAUGAGUAGGUAGUAAGAGGAUGAAUAAAUGGAUGAGUGGAUGUAUAGGAGUGCUAAAAAUGUAGAUGAAUAGAGGAGUGGAUGGAUGGGUGGCCGGAUAAAUGGGGGAACUUAUAGGAACAGAAGCAUGUUCCUAGUGAUGACAUUAAGGAACAGAUGUUUGAUGACAAAGUCAAAACGUAAGUAGGUAUAAACAAAAGUAACAGGAAUCUGCCAUCCUCCAAGAGAUCUCCCAGCCCUGGGAUCUCAAGGACUUUCUUCUCACAGAGGGGCAGGGCAGGCAGCUGUGCUAUAGAAAAAGGAGUACUGGCCUGAGCCCUGUACAGACUUGGAGUGAGUCACUACUAUUUCCUUUUCUUCCAUUUCUUCAAAUGUCAAAUGGACAUAAUAACAUCAGCCUCACUGGGUUGAGAAGAAAAGGUAAAGUAACAGGAAUGAAGUCACCUUACCAACUGGAACACUCUCCACCAUGCACCAAUAUCAAUACAUGGAAUUUAGCACAGCCUUGUCACCACCCUAAUUUCUUUGGUUGACGACCAACCAGACUCAAGGUCCAGCAGCUGACCCCUUCUUAAGCCAUGAGCUUUCUUCUAAAGGCCCCUCCCUCACAUCUUCACUUCCCCAAACUCUACCUGUUCUGUAGGGUCCAGUUCUCUCUCACAUACCGGUACCUACAAGAAACCUUCUCCAGUUAUCCCUCCCCCCAUAACAGAGGACAUUGAAUGCCACAGCAAAGAAUAUGGACAUUAAUUAGGCCAGUGAAAUGAGCUGCAGAAAGGUGGGGUUUUGUUUGUUUGUUUGUUUGUUUGUUUGUUUUAAAGACAGAGUCUUGCCCUGUUGCCCAGGCUGGAGUACAAUGGCAUGAUCUCGGCUUACUGCAACCUCUGCCUCCUGGGUUCAAGUGAUUCUCCUGCCUCAGCCUCCUGAGUAGCUGGGAUUACAGGCACCCACCACCACACCCAGCUAAUUUUUGUAAUUUUAGUAGAGAUGGGGUUUCACCAGGUUGGCCAGGUUGGUCUCGAACUCCUGGCCUCAGGUGAUCCACCCGCCUCAGCCUCCCAAAGUGUUGGGAUUACAGGCAUGAGCCACCAUGCCCCGCCUGCAGAAAGGUUUUAAAUCCCUACCUGCCUCCUGGAACAUGUUUGACCAGGACUCUGGCAAUCUGUGUCCCUAGGUUCCUUUCCCAUCUCCACUUUCAACACCACCUCCCCAAAAUAGAAAAAUGCCUUUUGUUCAUCUCUGGGUUUUUGGCCCCCAGUACCGGGUUUUCAGUAAACACUUGCUGAGCACAUCUAAGUCUGAAAUGGGGAAGCGUGGAGGUUGGUAAUACACAACACAUCAGCAAUACAGUUUUGCCUACUGACCCUUCUGCUGCUUGUCUUCUUCCCACUCUGUGUCAGUUUCUCAGAGGAGGAAACUCAGGCCAAUAGAAAUUGCCCAACGGCCCCCCAAAAUCCUGCUGUCCCUUCCCCCAUUCUGAACUAAGCUGUCAGGAAUGUGACCACCAGAGCAGAAAGAUCCUUUGUUACCACAGAGAGAGGCCAAGUUUGUGAAAUCCCUCCUGGUUGCUGUGUGGAGCCCUAGUUCAUCCACAUUUCCAACAGCUGAGUCUUCCGCACAACGGGAAAAGCACCAUUAAUUUCACUCUCCUAUCUUGGAGCAUUUAGAUCAUUUCCUGGUUUUGCUUCUUACAAACAGAGCUGCUAUGAACAUCCCUACCUGGAACUCAGGGGCCACUUUUCUCUAGGGACACAUUCAUCUGUCUGCUAGAUGCUUUUUUCUAAAACUCUACUUUCAUUUUAAAAAUUAUGACAUGGCUAUACUUGCUCAGGCCUCUAAGAUGGCAUCCUAGGACCUACUGAAUGGAGUCCCAGCAUCUCAAGGAAGGAAUGCCAGAAGCCAGAACAUCCAAGUAACAAUCUCCACCUGCAGCUGAUGCUCUCUGGGACCCAGGACCAGCCACUCUUCUCUGUGCCCCACUUUCCUCCUUUGUAAUCUAAUUACCCAGUGAUGACCAGGAUAUAAGAGGACUUGUCUGCAUUGUCUCAUGGCCACAACCACAAGAAGAGCGUCCUGCUGUCACCCCCAUUUUAUAAAUAGGGAAACUAGGUCAGGCAUGGUGGCUCACACCUGUAAUCCUAGAGCUUUGAGAGGCCAAGGCGGGAGGAACAGUUGAGACAGCAGUUUGAGACCAGCCUGGGCAACAUAGCAAGAACUCCGUCUUGACAAAAAAAAAAAAAAUUUUUUUUAAAUUAACUGGGCAUGGUGGCACACACCUGUUGUUCCAACUAUUCGAGAGGCUGAGAUGGGAGGAUCAUUUGAGCCCAGGAGAUCGAGGCUGCAGUGAGCUAGGAUCAUGCCACUGCACUCCAGCCUGGACAACAGAGUGAGACCUUAUCUCUAAAAAAUAAGAAAACUGAGGCACAGAGAAGUUAAGUAACGUGCUCAAGGUCAUGCAACUAGUAAGUGGCAGAGCCUACGUGCUUUCCCUUCAUUAAUUCAGUCAUUUAUUCAACAACUAUUUUAUUGAACAUCCACUAUGUACCCAGCCUCGGCAGUGAUCAAGAUACCCAAGAUCCUAGAUUUUACAAAAUCCACCACUUAAAAGCAGAGCAUGGGAUGGAAAGGAGACAAAAAUUAUUGUGUCUAACUUAUUUGUUAAUUUGCCUAUGGGCAGCAAUAAGUGCCAUGGGGGGAAAAAAGGUAGAGUAAUAGGAACUACUUUGGUCAGGGAAGUCCUCUCUGCAGAGUGGAGACCUCACUGUCAAGGAGAAAACAGCCAAGCAAAGGCCUAAAUCAAGGGUGUUACAAGAGAAAGGAAAAGGCAGGAGUAGAGAGGCCCCAUUGUCAGAGGCGUUUAAACCAGAGUGACUCCAUCUUGACCAGGAGCUGGGUACAAUGAGGCUGAAACCUACUGGGCUGCAUUCCCAGAUGGUUAGGCAUUCUGAGUCACAGGAUAAGAUAGGAGGUCUGCACAAAAUACAGGUCAUAAAGACCUUGCUGAUAAAACAGGAUAAGUAAAGAAGCCAGCCAAAACCCACCAAAACCAAGAUGGUGACGAGAGUGACCUGUGGUCGCCCUCACUGCUGCACUCCCACCCGCGUCAUGACAGUUUACAAAUGCCAUGGCAAUGUCAAGAAGUUACCCAAAAGGGCCAAAAAGGAGGAGGCAUAAAUAAUCCACCCCUUGUUUAGCAUAUCAUCAAGAAAUAACCAUAAAAAUGGGCAACCAGCAGCCCUUGGAUCUGCUCUGCCUAUGGAGUAGCCAUUCUUUCAUUCCUUUACUUUCCUAAUAAACUUGCUUUCACUUUACUUUAUGGACUCGGCCUGAAUUCUUUAUUGCAUGAGAUCCAAGAACCCUCUUUUGGGGUCUGGAUUGGGACUCCUUUCCUGUAACACCAUGCCAGAAGCCAUUCUGGAAUGUUCUGGAAACAGAACAAGCCAGGAGCCAAGUGACAAGUGAGUCAGUGAGAGGCUGGGACACCCCACUACAGAUCCUCCAUGUGAAUUCUUGGGCUGAUCUGGGGAACCUUCCAUGGGCUGGCCC
rnacentral:lncRNA from 1 species